rnacentral:rRNA from 1 species
UACGUAGGGUGCGAGCGUUGUCCGGAAUUAUUGGGCGUAAAGAGCUUGUAGGUGGCUCGUCGCGUCGGGAGUGAAAACCCGCGGCUUAACCGCGGGCCUGCUUUCGAUACGGGCGGGCUAGAGUUCGGCAGGGGAGACUGGAAUACUUGGUGUAGCAGUGAAAUGCGUAGAUAUCAAGUGGAACACCAGUGGCGAAGGCGGCUUCCUGGUCUGCGACUGACGCUGUGGCGCGAAAGCUAGGGGAGCAAACGGG